AGCAGCUGGGCGCAACAGCGGGUGAAGCAAAGCCCCCGCUCUGUUGCCGUCCGCGCACUCUGCGUUAAGCUCUGUGACACAAAGAAAGCCCAGAGCGCAGAUAAAUCCUGUGUGUAGCCAACAAAAGCACGAUCCAAAAAAUGAGGGUCUGCGCUCCGUGCAGGCGUGCAGAGGCACUGAAUCACCGUGCGGUCGUCCUCAUGGCGAGGGGACUGGAAGUGACCAGGGGAUGUCCGAGUGGAGAGGCUGUGUCAGGAGGAGAGGCUCCCGGAGAGGAGAGGGCUCGGACAGGCAGGCAUGCUCACCAGCAUGGGCUUUGUAUUCCAUGAGUACAGCUCCGACAGCGGGAUCCAUCCAUGUGGAGCUCAAGUGGGCCAGGCCUUCUGGUGGUGUACAAGUGAAAUACGGAGCUACAUCCACACUGGGAUUCAGCAAACAUCUGCUGCUCCUUCAUCCAUAAUAUCUGAGCUCCCAGUCAUCACCUGUCCACUGUGAUGGAGCUGAGUUCAGAGACGGGGUGGAAUGUGCUGCUCGGUUUGUCGCCGUCUAGUCAAUGGGACACGGUGCCAAUGCGGGGCUCGGAGCGGGGAUGGGGGAGACCAAGCUCCGCCCUCGCUCGGUCGCGCUAUGCGCUGCGAUUGGAGAGCCUUCAAAGGACGAUGCACCACUGACGGGCAUCUGCAGGCAACAAUGAUCCCCUUUGUGCAGCCUAUGUCCUCUCCACUGAAAAUCAAGCUUGUUAUUUUGUAAUCAUUCACGUUUUCCAUCGACUGAUUUUGAUGUAUGAUGAAACGAUGUAGUGGAGAUGUCGAUGCAGGUUUUUAAAGGUAGUGUGUGGCGAUGCUGAUCAUCCCACGGAGGCUGUUUUGCGUCAUGUGAUUUUUUUUCAUAACCGUCAUAUAAAUAGGCAGUAUGAGUUUCUGGUUUGAGGAGACAAUAGGAGGAUGUAAGGGUUUUUUUUUUUCGGGAUGGUGUGUUGCCUGUCACCCACGAGGGGGCAUCAAACGAUCAGGAUACGCGUUCUUGUACCGGUUUGUCUCCAUUAAUUAGAUUUAUAGCAUAAUUACAGGACAGUUAAUAUACUAUAGCUCUCACUGCUGAGUCGUCUGAGGUGCAGCGGUGCAAAGGAGUGAGAUUCAGAUGUCUGCAGACAGAUAUUGUUGUAGGCGGUGAUGUGGCUGCAGCUGCUCCCAAAUGACUGAGUGUGAGUGACCUUGAGAUUCAAGUGAGUGAUAGAUUUUCUCCCUGCAGUGGAGAAGAAGCCUGCAGCCAAAACAGUGUGUGUGUGUGUGUGGGUGUGUGUGUGUGUGUGUGUGCCGUUUACUCCUGAUGCCUCUGACUGACACUGAGCUGGUAUUCGGUGACAAUUUGUGCUCAUCUCUCACCUCUUUCCUCACUCCACUCUCCUCCUCCUCCUCCUCUUCCUCCUCCUCCUCUUCCUCGUCCUCAGAGACUUGUCAAGGGUUAAGAUCGAGGAGGAGGCUGAGAAUAAACUGAAGGAGUAAGUGUUUGUCAUCUGUUACCGUCUGCCAGCCACACCCAUGUGAGAGCACAUACCAGAGCUGGAAACAGGCGCCAACUCAGAAUGUGACCCCCCUCCACGAACACACCAUUUUAAAAAAUUUGAACAGAUUAAAACAAAUGUCACUGUCAGCAGUCGCCUAAUCACUCAAAGGUUAUUUUACUCAUAUGUACAGAUUUGCAUUUUUACUGUAAAUAUUGUCAAUCAUUACCUCUCACCAUCAUCCAUUGUUACUUUUUAUUUAUUCAAUAUUAUAUUCACCAUAGCUUAUGUGUAGAGGCACAUAUCUCAACAUAUAUAGUUGCCAUAUAUUGGAAUUUAAUGCACACAUUUAACUUUUUUAUUUUUUCAUGCACUUUUUUCUUGCAAAUAUUCUCACUUUUUAUGUUUUUCUAACAAUAUACCCCAUGUUGAGACGUUUCUAUUCUAGAAGAUAACACCUUAGUAAUCCCUCAGCAGGGAAAUUCGUGUGUCACAUCAGCCUUAGAGUCAUUGGCAGAGAGAGAAGAACAAACAGUGACUUAAACAGUGAGUUAAAGAUAAUGUAAAACCGAACAAGCGAGACAAAGAUAAAAUUAUGAAAUGAUGGAAGUGAAAACUGUAAUUAUAAUGAUAUAAUGGUGAUGAUGAUAAUGACUAACAAUAAUUAUUAUAAUACUAAUAAGGAGCAAAUGUAACAAAGUCCAAAUUCGACUACGAUUCCAACCUGUUCAUCAUUUAAGGAAAAUACAGUAAUUUGCUCUAUUUCCGAGAGUUGGAUCAAAAGAUAAACACAAAUUGUGUGUAGUUGUGUACAGUGUUACAGCUAGGAGGAGGCCAUAAGCCUAGCUUAGCAUAAUGACUAGAAGGAGGGGGGAAAAUUAGCCUGCCUCGGUCCAAAGUUCAAAAACACUCACCAGCGCCUUUAAACCUCAGUAAUGAACACAUAAUACUGUUACUCAUCUGCUUGGUCUGUACAGAAACAGAAAUGUAAAUAUGGCAAUUGUGUCCAGUAUUAGCAUCUAGCGGAGAGGUUGUAGACUGCAACUAGUCACAUCUAUGUCCAAAGCUGUCAGUGCCAGAAAAACUCACUGGCUUGUUUGUGAAUGUUUUAAAGAAAUACAAUCAUCUUCGGAGGCACUAAAUCCAGGAUGCAGAGACGGUCUCCCUGCCUGCAAAAUAGCCCCAGGGGGAACUUCAAGUCCUGACUUCAACUUGGCUAAAUCCUCAAUAAAGAAAAGGUAACAGCAGCUAGCUUGUUUCGGUUCGUAACAUAAUGCCAGAGGGAAUCAAAUGAGACACACCUCUACUUUGAAU
ensembl:lncRNA